rnacentral:rRNA from 1 species
CGGGACGGGUGAGUAAUGUCUGGGAAACUGCCUGAUGGAGGGGGGUAACUACUGGAAACGGUAGCUAAUACCGCAUAACGUCGCAAGACCAAAGAGGGGGACCUUCGGGCCUCUUGCCAUCGGAUGUGCCCAGAUGGGAUUAGCCAGUAGGUGGGGUAACGGCUCACCUAGGCGACGAUCCCUAGCUGGUCUGAGAGGAUGGCCAGCCACACUGGAACUGAGACACGGUCCAG